rnacentral:rRNA from 1 species
GGUCUCGCCUGCCCUGUGAUAAAGAUUUAACGGCCGCGGUAUUCUGACCGUGCAAAGGUAGCGUAAUAACUUGUCUUUUAAAUAAAGACCUGUAUGAAUGGCAUAACGAGGGUUAACCUGUCUCCUUACUCAAGUCAAUGAAAUUGAUCCCCUCGUGCAGAAGCGAGGAUUAGACCAUAAGACGAGAAGACCCUAUGGAGCUUUAAGGCACUAGGACAUACUAAGUUAAAACCUCUCGCUUAAGAGUUAAAACAAAAUGUUAAUGCCCUAUGCCUUUGGUUGGGGCGACCACGGAGUAAAACAUAACCCCCGUGUGGAAAUAAACCACUAUUCUAAACUUAGAGCCGCCGCUCAAAGAAACAGAAAAUCUGACCACGAAGAUCCGGCAAAGCCGAUCCACGGACCCAGUUACCCUAGGGAUAACAGCGCAAUCCCUCCUUAGAGCCCUUAUCGACGGAGGAGUUUACGACCUCGAUGUUGGAUCAGGACAUCCUAAUGGUGUAGCCGCUAUUAAGGGUUC